UUUAGCAAAUGUGCAGGUAACAUUUCUUAUAGGCUAGUGCCAUUGUAAAUGUUUAUAGCAUUUAUAAAAUGAACUAAAACUCAUGCAUGGUCUGAUAAAAAGAUUUGAGUGGAUAAGAAAAACUGCCAUGUGUAAUGUGCACUAAGGUGAGCAAGGUUUAUAUAGCAGAUUGUAUGCAAUUUGCACACAAGUAAUUGGUUCCAAGGGACGUGGUGGUGCUCUGGUGCCUCUGUGAUGCACGGUCAGAAGACUAGCAGUCAUAAGAUCGAAUCCAUGCAACGGAGUGAGCUCCCAUCACUUUGUCCCAGCUCCCGCCAACCUAGCAGUUAGAAAGCAUGCAAAUUUGAGUAGAUAAAUAGGUACCACCUCGGUGGGAAGGUAACAGCGUUCUGUGCCUAAGUCGCACUGGCCACGUGACAAUGGAAACUAUCUUCGGACAAACGCUGGCUCUACAGCUUGGAAAUGGGGAUGAGGACCACCCCCUAGAGUCAGACACAACUGGACUAAAUGUUAAGGGGAACCUUUACCUUUAAUUGGUUCCAAAGGUAAAGAUGCCACACCUUUUGCUGAGGUCUCUCAAAUGGCAAGAUUUCUGUGAGAUGUUGGAAGACCUGAACAUAAAUAGGAUUUUCUACAUGAUAUGUCUUAAGGAACGUAAGUGUGCAGUUAUUACCCACUUGUCACACCCAGCAGAGAUUUUUUUUUCUCUGAAAGGUGUGUUUCUCUUGUGGGAUAUGCUAUCCUUCCCUCAAAUGUUGUAAAAAUUGAAGGGAAAAGGGGGGAGCUAGAAAAACAAACAAACCAAGGACAAAAUGUUGUAGCACUUCAAAGACUAAAGGAUUUGUUUCAGUUUGGCCUUUUGUGGAUCAAAAUCCACUUGCUGUGUGUGAAAAAAAAAACAGAUUUUGAUCCAUAAAAUCUCACACUGUUAGUCUUUAAAGGCCCUCCUCCUUUCCUUCUUUUUUCCCCUUUGUCCUGUCGUUAUACUAAGACAGAUUAACAUGGCUCCCUCAGAGGGAGCAUCUACUGUUACUAUAACUGCCAUGUACUCUACCUUGCAGUCCAGGGGAUUCUCAAGAGCCUCCUCCAGCACCACAAUUCAAAGGCAUCAAUUCUUCGGCGGUCUGCUUUCUUUAUGGUCCAG
rnacentral:lncRNA from 1 species